ACGGAAGGCAGCAGUGGGGAAUAUUGCACAAUGGGCGAAAGCCUGAUGCAGCGACGCCGCGUGAGCGAAGAAGUAUUUCGGUAUGUAAAGCUCUAUCAGCAGGGAAGAAAAUGACGGUACCUGACUAAGAAGCACCGGCUAAAUACGUGCCAGCAGCCGCGGUAAUACGUAUGGUGCAAGCGUUAUCCGGAUUUACUGGGUGUAAAGGGAGCGUAGACGGCUUAGUAAGUCUGAAGUGAAAGCCCGGGGCUCAACCCCGGGACUGCUUUGGAAACUAUUGAGCUAGAGUGUCGGAGGGGCAAGUGGAAUUCCCAGUGUAGCGGUGAAAUGCGUAGAUAUUGGGAGGAACACCAGUGGCGAAGGCGGCUUGCUGGACGAUGACUGACGUUGAGGCUCGAAAGCGUGGGGAGCAAACAGGAUUAGAUACCCUGGUA
rnacentral:rRNA from 1 species